UACGGGGGGGCAAGCGUUGUUCGGAAUUACUGGGCGUAAAGGGCUCGUAGGCGGCCAACUAAGUCCGACGUGAAAUCCCCAGGCUUAACCUGGGAACUGCGUCGGAUACUGGUUGGCUUGAAUCCUGGAGAGGGUGGCGGAAUUCCCGGUGUAGAGGUGAAAUUCGUAGAUAUCGGGAGGAACACCAGAGGCGAAGGCGGCCACCUGGACAGAGAUUGACGCUGAGACGCGAAAGCGUGGGGAGCAAACAGG
rnacentral:rRNA from 1 species